ensembl:lncRNA
CCGAACCAUUCAGUGAGCUCUCGAAGCACUGGGGAUGGGGGCGGGGUCAUCCUGGAAGUGACCACGCCCACCAGGAUAGAUACUUUUAUCAUAGGAUAAAAGUGAUCAGUCAGAAGAGCUUUCUAUUGAUUUGCAGUGACGCUUUCCUCUAAAGGGACACGUGCACGCAAAGCAAGCUGGCAAAAUAAAUAAAUACGCCCAAACGUAACGUAGCCACCAUUUUUUCCCUUUAAUUUGUACACCCGUCUGACCUUUUACGGAACUGGGAUUGUGCAGCUAUAGGUAUCAACCUAUAGAGCUGUAGAACUAAAUGGUAUAAGGAUUGAAACAAGUGAGAUCAGCCUUGAAAGUAAACCAUUUGACGUUCUCUUCUCUUGGGGUUCUCCUCUCUAUUUGGUGCUAAAGACAAUAAAGACAACGAAGAACGCUACUCGUCCAUCCCGACUUCCUGCUGUCCAUGUGUAAAUAUCAGCCGGUGUAUGUAAUGUACAGAUCGUGUUGAAUUAUUUAUUAUAACCCACAUUUAUUUUUAUACAAUUAUUUAAAAUGUUAACGAAGCCAUUUGUGAAUUGUCGCAAAUUUUGUUUUGGGUUUUAUAAUAAGUGUUUUUCGUCAUCGAAAACUCUUCUGCGUCAGGGUGGGUAGGACAUAAAGAAACCAGCAGCUCCACAAUAACACACGGGGGGAAAAGUAUUUACAUCCUACGCUUUCAUGUUCCAUACAUACGACCCGUGGAGGGUUAAGACUCUGUGGGUGCUGUAGAAAGGAAGUCAGGUUUUCCUAACCGACCUAGCUAGAGUUCUGGAGAUCUCGCCGAUUGAUGAUGUAAGCAGAAUGUAGUUUUCUUGAAUCACAGGUCUAUCAUUCGAGGAUGAGAUGUCUGAUUUGGGAUCAUCUCGUAGUAUGUGUGACAAGAAAUAAUCUUAAAGGACAGGAUGAAAGCGGGAUUAGCUUAGUGGAGGCAAAAUGGAAACUCGGGAUGAGUCUAGAGAAUGAAGCAGGUAAGGGAAGUCGCUCUGGGAAUGUAACCUUCAUAAGCAGGUGGAAAACAUUUCGCUGAUUGUAACGUUUCAGACAGCGUAAGCCGCAUGUAUCAGUGGACAAACAAGGCCCAGAACGUACACAACUAUAAAGUUAGGCAAGACUCCGAUUAUGAAUGGAAUAGCAGAAUAAAAACGUCGACUGAGGGGUCUGAGAGAAAAUCGGCCGUGCUCUGUGGGUGGGAGGAAUGGCGUUACUCACUACUGUCAAUCACGGUGGCACUAACCAAUCGUAGGUGUCUGUGAGUUCGUGUAUUUGGGAAAGUGUAUACAGUGAAGGGGAGGGUAUAUAUAAUAUAUAUAUAUAUAUAUAUAUAUAUAUUUUAAAUAAAAGGAAUAUUGCAGUUUGUUUCAUCCUCAUCUCUCCUGACCACAUCUGGAGUGAAUGUGUUAAUACUACACACACACACACACACACACACACACACACAAACACAAAUCAUUUCCCAGUACUGAGGGGAAAAAAAACCCCUGAAAACCUGUUUACUUCAUACGUAGAAGUCUCAGGGCAGAUGUUGAAUUCUGUCGAUAAAUGUUUAAAAUAUAGUAUGUGCCUACAUUUUGCAAAAUUCAAACAAUACAACAAUUAAAACGUUAGCCAUAAAGGUCCACGAAAGAUAAGACGGAAGUGAAGAGUGUCUUCGCAAGAGUGGUUUUAUGAGAGAACAGCUAUCCAAGACUAUGUUAAGAAAUUCGGUAAAAAGUAGUUCCGGUUACUUUCCCUCAGAAGAAGUAGUCCAAAUUCUGGAAGAUAUACAGUACAGAAUAUACAGAUUGGAUCUUAUUUACAAAUAAAUCUGUCUCAAGAAUUAAAGUUUGUGGACUUUAAAUAUAUAUAUAUAUAUAUAUAUA